GAUCCUGGCUCAGGAUGAACGCUAGCUACAGGCUUAACACAUGCAGGUCGAGGGGAAACGACAUCGAAAGCUUGCUUUUGAUGGGCGUCGACCGGCGCACGGGUGAGUAACGCGUAUCCAACCUGCCCACCACUUGGGGAUAACCUUGCGAAAGUAAGACUAAUACCCAAUGACGUCUCUAGAAGACAUCUGAAGGAGAUUAAAGAUUUAUCGGUGAUGGAUGGGGAUGCGUCUGAUUAG
rnacentral:rRNA from 1 species